GAUGAACGCUGGCGGCGUGCCUAAUACAUGCAAGUCGAGCGAAUGGAUUAAGAGCUUGCUCUUAUGAAGUUAGCGGCGGACGGGUGAGUAACACGUGGGUAACCUGCCCAUAAGACUGGGAUAACUCCGGGAAACCGGGGCUAAUACAGGAUAACAUUUUGAACCGCAUGGUUCGACAUUGAAAGGCGGCUUCGGCUGUCACUUAUGGAUGGACCCGCGGGGCAUUAGCUAGUUGGUGGGGUAACGGCUCACCAAGGCAACGAUGCGUAGCCGACCUGAGAGGGUGAUCGGCCACACUGGGACUGAGACACGGCCCAGACUCCUACGGGAGGCAGCAGUAGGGAAUCUUCCGCGAUGGACGAAAGUCUGACGGAGCAACGCCGCGUGAGUGAUGAAGGCUUUCGGGUCGUAAAACUCUGUUGUUAGGGAAGAACAAGUGCUAGUUGAAUAAGCUGGCACCUUGACGGUACCUAACCAGAAAGCCACGGCUAACUACGUGCCAGCCGCCGCGGUAA
rnacentral:rRNA from 1 species